AUGAUUUGUUUUCAAACAAAUUUGACAUGGUUCAGCCUCAGAGUGAGAUGGAAUUGUAGAUCGAAAACGACAAGUAGCAGCGAUAUGACCCUUUUUAUGACAAAUUCGACAAAUAAGCACAGGAGGACCAUAACUGUUUCAAAAAGGUUGAUGAGGCUUACCAAGAAUACAUUGAGCACCAUUACCAAACUGAGGAGGAGAAUUGGAGAAUUGCUGAGGAGGAUUAGAAUAAGACUGAUUCUUGGGAUAAAAGCGUGA
rnacentral:lncRNA from 1 species